UACGGGGGGAGCAAGCGUUGUUCGGAUUUACUGGGCGUAAAGGGCGCGUAGGCGGCCACCGCAAGUCGACUGUGAAAUCUCCGGGCUUAACCCGGAAAGGUCAGCCGAUACUGCGGGGCUAGAGUGCAGAAGGGGCAACUGGAAUUCUCGGUGUAGCGGUGAAAUGCGUAGAUAUCGAGAGGAACACCUGCGGCGAAGGCGGGUGCUGGGCUGACACUGACGCUGAUGUGCGAAAGCUAGGGGAGCGAACGGG
rnacentral:rRNA from 1 species